GGGGGAGCAGCCCGGAAAAUUCUGCAGCGUUGGCGGAACUCACCAAGAGGGCGGCGUGAGGGAGUUUUCAAACCGAGUCCAGAGGCAGAGAAACUCAAGUGUGAUGCAGGCGGCCGGAGGGGCCCAAAGCCUCCUGGAUUCUCGGCUCCUGCCUGCGGGUUAAGGGCCCACCCUGGGGCGGCAGCUUCCCAUCCGCUUCUGGAGCCGGUCUGUCCGUGGUCAGGCCGCUGAACCCCCCCGGGGCCUCCUCUGCCAGCCAGUGCCCGUAGCGCCAGCUCCCGAUGCUGUGGCCCGCGAUGGGAACGAAACAAGACAAUGUGUGCAGACACGGGGGGGGGGGGGGGGGGGGGCGGUCAGCUCCUCGGGGGGCCUUUGCGGCAUCAUCUCUGGUUGUCACAACCAGGAGGGUGAGGCGUCUGGCAUCUGAGUAGAGACCAGGGAUGCCGCAGAACAGUCUGCAAUGCAAUGCACAGGACGGUCCCCCGCAGAGAAGUGUCCCCGACCGACCGAAACGUCAGCAGGGCCUCGGUGACAAACACUGAGCCCCUGAACGUAGCGCCCUGAACGUCGAAUGGUAAAUGUUGGUUUUACGAUGCAGGGGCCCAUCUGGAGUACAAGGGGAGGUGGAUGGGAGAACGGGGUGUGCCAUGAGAAGGCAGCACGCCGACGGUGGCUGCCUCUGACAAAGGCUCCGUCCCUCUUCAUCCAGACGGCAAAUACUUACCACGCCACGCACUCCUCCAGGUGCUGAGCCGGCAUGGACCGGCCCAGGUGCUCACGGAGCGUCCGGUCUGGAGGGGAAGAGACUCAGCCCGACAGAGCGAGUAAACAGAAAUGGCCCGGAAGAUCCUUCGAGGGUGAGGACUGGGUAAACAGACCACGGUAGACGCGUGCCACGCAAGAGUUUUCAGCCGUGAAAAGGCACCGACGCCCCGCGCGACUGCAGGGUGAGCCCCGAACGCGUUUGCUGAGUGAAAGAAGCCAGACGGAAAGACCACAUCCUGCACGCACGUUCCCAAAGAUGUUUGCGGUGGGGGCUGCAUAACCCCGUGCGUGUACCACAGGCCACUGAAUUGUACACUUCGAGCAGGUGAAUCUCCAUAUAGCCGUUACAUAUGGAAACAUUAACGAUGGCCCCUGCCCACCUCCGAUCUGGUCACAUGCAAUUUCGUGGAAACUUCAGGAGUCCGAUUCCCUCCAAAAGGUUGGCCUGGAGCCAGCUGUAACCUCAGAAAUCUGCUUGCCACUCAAGGAUGAUCACAAAAGGGGCAGUUGAACUGGACACUCACUAGCUCAGUAGACAGGAUCCCCACUUCUUCCUCCUCAUCCAUCCCUGCCCACGAAGAUGUGCCCCCCACCUGGAACCUGUCUCCCGUGAGAGCCAGUGACAGACAUCUGGCUGUGGUUCUGGGACAGCAGAGGGGGCAGGCCAAGCCCAUGGACAUUCCGAGACUGACCUCACUGGGCUGGCAAGGGUACCAGGGGGACACCGUUAGCAGCUCUCCCCCCCCCCCCCCCCCCACUUUGUGACACAUGUCCUCAAGCACCAAAAUGAAGGUGAUGAGUCUCUUGCCGGUGUGACGGGUUUUGUAGCUCAGAGCCAGGUUCAAAUUCUGCCUCUGGUCUUUACCAGCCCUACGAACCCGGGCACGCGAUCUCCCUGCUCCGAGCCUGUUUUCUCGCCUACAAAACGAUCUUUCCAAAACCACCCCCACCAAAAGGCCAGUGCUUCUUUGGGGCUCCGCUCAGGGCCCGGUGUGAAGCACUGAGAGGCCACCACAUCCCUGGGUGGCAUCUAUCGGCUUCCCUCCGUCCCCUGCCUACAUUUCACUUUUUCCUUACGUUCUACGGACGACUUCCACGGCAUGGCACACGGCAUAAUAGUUCAAAAUUACGGACCACUCCUCCAGGGGGAUUGUAUGGCCAGCCACACCCACGGCCGUCUGGACCACGUGACCUGUUCUGGCCAAUGAGCUGUGAGCAGAAGUGACAUCCCUUGUUUCCAGGCAGAAACUUUCAGAGCCGAUGCCGGGUGGCCAGGCGUGUCUACUACCUCUGCCACAAGACAUCGUCCCAGAUGUUGGCUCCUCUCUCGGCCAGGCUCCCAGCGCAAAGAGGACACAGAGCAGAGCUGUAGCCACCCUUGAAGGACAAGUGGCAAUCCUAAGACAAGCCUCUGUUGUUGAAGGGAUGACACCUGGGGUCAUAUCCUGGCUGAUGCACAUUGUGGCUGCUGGAAGGGCUUCCCGAGAGCUGCUGCCUGGUGCAAUGGAUGAUUCACCGUUAGAAUGUGAUGCCCUUGACUUGGCGGCCACUUGGCAGGUACUACACGAGCAGUGGAUGUGACCAUGACUUGGCGUUUCUGCACACAGAUCUGACAACAGCCUGAGCUCCGAGAUUAAUCUGCUAACGUGAGUUGUGUGGAAACGCUGGCCUUAGCACGUGGGAGGCUCUUCCAUUGGAUUCGUGGCCUGUGACCGUCUUCACCUCUGGGGAACCACUGCCUGUUCCCCUCCCUGCUCCUGGCCACCCACCAGCAAGAGCCGUGUGCACGGAGGCCAUUGUCCACCUGUGCCCCUGCCAAGGUCAGGUUUACUAAGCUUGCUGCAGCAGGGAAGAGCAUACACCAGGCGAACCAGGGGGCGGCUCUCCCCACGUCUCCUUGGCCGUGAUUUUCCCUGUUGGCUGAACCCGGGUCUGUUGUGCCAUUCCAAACCUCCUCGUUCUUUGCCAUUCCACUUCUUCUUUUAAUGCUUAUUUAUUUUUCAAGGAGAGAGAGACAGAGCGUGACCAGGGGAGGGGCAGAGAGAGAGGGAGACACAGAAUCCGAAGUGGGCUCCAGGCUCCGAGCCAUCAGCCCAGAGCCCGACGCGGGGCUCAAACCCACAAACUGCGAGAUCGUGACCUGAGGUGAAGUCAGACGCUUAACCGACUGAGCCACCCAGGUGCCCCUUUGCUAUUUCACGUCUGUCCCCUGAAGUCCAAUCUGGGUCAGGGGCCUGUAGCACCCUCCUAACACUGGUCUUAAUGAUGGUGGUCUUCAGAAUUUUGGCCUCUCAGCAACAUUGCCCUCUCAGUACCCAGUCAUGCUCAGUAGACAGUGGGUACUCACUAAGGACUGGUUCUCUCCUGAGUUGGUUGCUUUGUGCUGGUGGGGCUGUGGCAGAGCAGAAGGCAGCUCUCCGCAGUCCAGUUCGUCAAGGUCGUAUCAGGGAACUGGAUGGGGGUGCAAAGUGUCCCCCAACUCAUGGCUGUUGGGAGGGGCCUGGCAGAAGCCGCAAGGAACCAUGUACCCCAGGCUCAGGCUCCAAUACCUUUCGCCACCCCUGCCCUCUUCUCACCCGCUCCACUCCUGGCAGCUGGGGACCCCAAGCAGAACAACUGUCUCUUAAAGAUGGGGUUUUGUGGUUGGGAUCAGUCCCUUCCCGAAUGGCAAGGACCAGGGGUUCAGGGAUUUCAACAAAAGAACUCGCAAAAACCAUCUCUUUAUUUAUCAUUCCUGCCAUACAACCAGUUUGCACAAGCUGAGGGUGGGUGGAUUUUGCAAAGAAAAGAGCAUCUGGGUAUAGACCCUCCUGGAAACAGUCUAAACACACUGCUAAGGCUGGUUAGACUCGAGAAGCAAUUUAACAAUAAACUCUACACAAUUAGAAAUGUA